UAAGGAAUAUUGGACAAUGGUGGAGACACUGAUCCAGCCAUGCCGCGUGCAGGAUGACGGUCCUAUGGAUUGUAAACUGCUUUUGUAUGGGAAUAAACCCCGGUACGUGUACCGGGUUGAAUGUACCAUAAGAAUAAGGAUCGGCUAACUCCGUGCCAGCAGCCGCGGUAAUACGGAGGAUCCGAGCGUUAUCCGGAUUUAUUGGGUUUAAAGGGUGCGUAGGCGGGACGAUAAGUCAGUGGUGAAAUCCCAUAGCUCAACUAUGGAAUUGCCAUUGAUACUGUCGACCUUGAGUACAAACGAUGUGGGCGGAAUGUGCAGUGUAGCGGUGAAAUGCUUAGAUAUUGCACAGAACACCGAUAGCGAAGGCAGCUCACAAGAAUGUAACUGACGCUGAUGCACGAAAGUGUGGGGAUCAAACAGG
rnacentral:rRNA from 1 species